GAUGAACGCUAGCGGCAGGCUUAACACAUGCAAGUCGAGGGGUAACAUUGAAGCUUGCUUCAGAUGACGACCGGCGAACGGGUGCGUAACGCGUAUAGAAUCUGCCUUGUACAGGAGGAUAGCCUUUAGAAAUGAAGAUUAACACUCCAUAAUACUGAUAUGUGGCAUCACAAAUUAGUUAAACAUUUAUGGGUACAAGAUGACUAUGCGUCCUAUUAGCUAGAUGGUAAGGUAACGGCUUACCAUGGCAACGAUAGGUAGGGGGUCUGAGAGGAUUAUCCCCCACACUGGUACUGAGACACGGACCAGACUCCUACGGGAGGCAGCAGUGAGGAAUAUUGGUCAAUGGAGGCAACUCUGAACCAGCCAUGCCGCGUGCAGGAAGACUGCCCUAUGGGUUGUAAACUGCUUUUAUACAGGAAGAAACAGUCGUACGUGUACGGCCUUGACGGUACUGUAAGAAUAAGCACCGGCUAACUCCGUGCCA
rnacentral:rRNA from 1 species